AUUGAACGCUGGCGGCAUGCCUUACACAUGCAAGUCGAACGGUAACGGGCCUUCGGGUGCCGACGAGUGGCGAACGGGUGAGUAAUGCAUCGGAACGUACCAUUGAGUGGGGGAUAACUAUCCGAAAGGAUAGCUAAUACCGCAUAUUCUCUCCGGAGGAAAGCAGGGGAUCGCAAGACCUUGCGCUCUUUGAGCGGCCGAUGUCAGAUUAGCUAGUUGGUGGGGUAAAAGCCCACCAAGGCGACGAUCUGUAGCGGGUCUGAGAGGAUGAUCCGCCACACUGGGACUGAGACACGGCCCGGAGUCCUACGGGAGGCAGCAGUGGGGAAUUUUGGACAAUGGGGGCAACCCUGAUCCAGCCAUGCCGCGUGAGUGAAGAAGGCCUUCGGGUUGUAAAGCUCUUUCGGCCGGGAAGAAAUCGUGCGGGCUAAUAUCCCGCAUGGAUGACGGUACCGGACUAAGAAGCACCGGCUAACUACGUGCCAGCCGCCGCCGUAUAC
rnacentral:rRNA from 1 species